GAAGAGAUGGCCGAGAGGUUAAAGGCGACUGUCUGUAAAACAGUUGAUAAAUUUCUACAUAAGUUCGAAUCUUAUUCUCUUCA
rnacentral:tRNA from 1 species